rnacentral:rRNA from 1 species
GACGAACGCUGGCGGCGGGCUUAACACAUGCAAGUCGAACGGGAAGUCCCUGCUUUUGUGGGGUGCUCGAGUGGCGAACGGGUGAGUAACACGUGAGUAACCUGCCCUUGACUGUGGGAUAACUUCAUGAAACUUGGGCUAAUACCGGAUAGGAGCUCCUGCUGCAUGGUGGGCGUGGGUUAGUUUCGGCGGUUGGGGAUGGACUCGCGGCUUAUCAGCUUGUUGGUUGGGUAGUGGCUUACCAAGGCUUGGACGGGUGGCCGGGCUGAGAGGGUGACCGGACACACUGGGCCUGAGAUGCGGCACAGACUCCUACGGGAGGCAGCAGAGGGGAAUGUAGUACAAUGGGCGGAAGCAUGAUGCAGCAACGCCGCGCGCGGGAAGACGGGAAUGGGGUAGUAAACCACUUCCGCCUGUGACGAGACGUGAAUGACGGUAAUGGGUGAAGAAGCACCGGCUAACUACGUG